CAUUUUACUUAGUUUAACAGCAGUUAAUGAAACAAAUAAAGCGAUUUUUAAAGUCUCUAGUUAAUGUAAAAGUAAAUCAAGUUUAUUUAAAAACACAAAAACUACCCCUUUAUUUAUUAGUGCGGUAAAUUAAAUCAAUUUACUUUUAAUGGUGGCUUUGGAAUAGUGGAAGAAACAAAUUCCUUUGGAGGUACUCAAUCCAGGAAGGCAACGCAAAGUAUAUAGUACUUAUUGGAAAUGAUUUCUACGUGCACGAUGCAAGAGGAGCCAGAAAGAAACCAGGAAAUCUCUGAUGUCUGCAAGUCAUUUCAUCAAAGUCAAGAUGAUUGCUCCAUUAACGUAACAGAAUUCUCCACAGUUCCAGAAGAAAAUGCCAGUGUCGACUUUGAAUAUGUCAAAUCUCGCAUAUCUACCGUAUGUCUCGUUGACAAAAGUUACAGUGAAGAUGACUCACAGGGAUUGUACAGUUUUGGAGUAAUAGCUGUGUUACUUUGUGUAUUUUUACUCGCUGCACCUCUCUCUAUUCUGAUAAUAUACGGUUGGGAUCAUCACGUAAUAAAGUUUUCAUGGUGAUAUUUUGUUUGAAAUUCACUAAAAAUGUAUUCAUCCAA